GAUUCUGGCUCAGGAUGAACGCUAGCGACAGGCUUAACACAUGCAAGUCGAGGGGCAGCAUGAUUUGUAGCAAUACAGAUUGAUGGCGACCGGCGCACGGGUGAGUAACGCGUAUGCAACUUACCUAUCAGAGGGGGAUAGCCCGGCGAAAGUCGGAUUAAUACCCCAUAAAACAGGGGUCCCGCAUGGGAAUAUUUGUUAAAGAUUCAUCGCUGAUAGAUAGGCAUGCGUU
rnacentral:rRNA from 1 species